rnacentral:snRNA from 1 species
AGCUUUGCGCAGUGGCAGUAUCGUAGCCAGUGAAGUUUAUCCGAGGCGCGAUUAUUGCUAAUUGAAAACUUUUCUCAAAUGGUACAUUUCAGCCAGGAACCUGAAAUUCCCUUUAGGCUUUCUGAAGAAA